rnacentral:rRNA from 1 species
ACGCCCACAGUUGCCAGCGUACUCUCCGGAGUGACGGGUACGACUGUGGGGACCGCCGCUGCUAAAGCGGAGGAAGGAAUGGGCAACGGUAGGUCAGUAUGCCCCGAAUAUCCCGGGCUACACGCGAGCUACAAUGGGUGGGACGAUGGGUAUCGACACCGAAAGGUGAAGGCAAUCUCCUAAACCCAUCCGUAGUUCGGAUUGUGGGCUGCAACUCGCCCACAUGAAGCUGGAAUCUGUAGUAAUCGUGUCUCAAAAUGGCACGGUGAAUAUCGUCCCUGCUCCUU